CUUCAACCAAGGAAUAACAAUAACACUUUCAAGUAAUAAGAGAGCUCCUUGUAUGAAUCAGGCAGCAAGAGUUGAAGGUCACGCUACUGGAUGUGAAGAUUGGAAGGAAUAUGGAUAUCCAUAGAGUGAAUGUUUUAAAGUUUCCCAUCUUAAAAAAUUCCUAGUUAUCUUAAAACUGACACUUGUAAAAUAUCAGCAGCUACAUGCUUUCUUCUGUGCUUACAGAAUCAAACCUGAUUUUGAUUUUCUUCACAAGAUACUUUCCUGUAGUUCUAGAAGUAUAAGAAAAAUUCCGCAAAAGAGUGUAAAUAGGGACCUGCACGGUAGACUUAUCAACAAAAGAAAGACCUGCCAAGUAGUUGCUUUAAGAGGAACUUGAGAUAUCAAAAGAACUAAACUAUCAACACUCCACCUACUACACUAUCUGAAUAUUGUAGUUACUUUUUUUAGUCGGUCUGAUGUAUUCACAACGGGAUCCAGCAUUCAUCCGUCCUGUUUCGCGGAGCAUUUUUAUAUGCCUUGUUAGAUGGUAGGAUGUGCAUUGUGAUUCAGCCUGGCUUUAGAACAAGUAAGAAGCUUCUGAAUAUGUGUAAUCUUUUUAAUAUGCUACAGGCUUGUUCAAUAGCGAACGAAUGCAACUGAACAUCAAGAACUCAAUCAAGUAUCUUUGCCAUUGAUUACGUGGGUGCAACUAUUGCCAUCAGAUGUUGGAAGUAGGAUACAAGUAGCUCAUCAAGGUACUUUGGGGUCACGCUCAUGCUUGUACUGAUGAUGUCCUUUGGUCAUUACAAAAAGGAAAAAAAAAGGAAUUGUGAUUAAAUCUUGAAGACACUUACUAAAUUAUCUAUUUUGCAUAGGUAGUAAAUUUUCUAUUCAGACUAGCCUGCCAUUGAAUCCACAUAGCCAUCAAAGAUGUAAUAUUGCAAAUGCCAAGGGUUAAGUUUGAAGGGAGCAAAGAAGAAAGGAUAUUCAUGGGACGAAGUGUGCCAGGAACUUAACAUAAUAUGAUAUUCAGUGUCUUUAUCUCA